GACGAACGCUGGCGGCGUGCCUAAUACAUGCAAGUAGAACGCUGAAGAGAGGAGCUUGCUCUUCUUGGAUGAGUUGCGAACGGGUGAGUAACGCGUAGGUAACCUGCCUUGUAGCGGGGGAUAACUAUUGGAAACGAUAGCUAAUACCGCAUAACAAUGGAUGACACAUGUCAUUUAUUUGAAAGGGGCAAUUGCUCCACUACAAGAUGGACCUGCGUUGUAUUAGCUAGUAGGUGAGGUAACGGCUCACCUAGGCGACGAUACAUAGCCGACCUGAGAGGGUGAUCGGCCACAUUGGGACUGAGACACGGCCCAAACUCCUACGGGAGGCAGCAGUAGGGAAUCUUCCGCAAUGGACGCAAGUCUGACGGAGCAACGCCGCGUGAGUGAAGAAGGUUUUCGGAUCGUAAAACUCUGUUGUUAGAGAAGAACAAGUGCUAGAGUAACUGUUAGCGCCUUGACGGUAUCUAACCAGAAAGCCACGGCUAACUACGUGCCAGCAGCCGCGGUAAUACGUAGGUGGCAAGCGUUGUCCGGAUUUAUUGGGCGUAAAGCGAGCGCAGGCGGUUCCUUAAGUCUGAUGUGAAAGCCCCCGGCUCAACCGGGGAGGGUCAUUGGAAACUGGGGAACUUGAGUGCAGAAGAGGAGAGUGGAAUUCCAUGUGUAGCGGUGAAAUGCGUAGAUAUAUGGAGGAACACCAGUGGCGAAGGCGACUCUCUGGUCUGUAACUGACGCUGAGGCUCGAAAGCGUGGGUAGCAAACAGG
rnacentral:rRNA from 1 species